GAUUUCAAGUCUCAAGUUGUGGAAAUCUUCCCUGAGGGCGUCUUGUUCUGACAUCAAAGCUUCAAUGACGGUUUUAAUAUCUGUUCCUGGCAUAUGAUGUCGGAGAUCAGGCAUGGCUGAUUCUUCGGUCAGGACAGGCUGAGGAGGAGGAUCAAUAUCAUAGUAGCCGGAAGGUGUCUGAGGGUCAGAUUCAGCAUGAGAGAUAUGGUCAACAUAGUGCUCAUAG
rnacentral:lncRNA from 1 species